CGAAGGGCUACAGCCGGGUCUUUGUGGCCUCGAACCGGGGAAACAAGAGAAGCCGGCCGGCCAUGGCGGAAACCCAAGGUUUUGGGUCUCGGCUCCGCUCGCCCUUCCCUCUCUCCUCGUCUCACUUAUGGCUGGAAACGCAGACAUUCAAUUCGUAUCCUCCUCCAUCAGGAUUCCUCUUCGCUCGCUAGGGCAGAACAUCGGGCCUACGCGGGAGGGACGAGGAGGAGCGGGUUUCAUCAGCGAGUUGCCGGGAGAGACGCUGGAACAGGCCGAUCUGAGGACCGCGCUACCGGAGCGCUGAAGUUCUCCGGCCGAAUUCGGUGCUCACAGUGUGGGAGGUGCAGGAGGACGUUCUCAGGAUUAUCCAUACCGGCUGUUCUCUUUGUGCGUCGCCUGUUGCCUUUGACAUUAGGGAUGGUAUCCGAUUGGUCUUUCAGUUUGUGCUCAAUGUGGAACAAGAGCUUCCUUGCCUUCCUGAGUGGUUGUGUUUCAACAAGUGUCACAGGUUAUGAAGAAGGUGCAUAAGUUGUGGUUGUUCAUGUGCAGUUGGAUGCUGAGAAAUCUCCUUUGGAAUGGUGAUCCAGCUGAAGGGCGAAACCAGGCAAUGGAUCGGGUUAUGGGAUUGGUAUUCAUGUGGACUUCUCGUUGGGGCCUAUCUUCCUGGAGUAUGCAUUUGACGUUAAAAAUACGAGGAGGUUUCACUUUAAGAGUUGGAUAUCACCAGUAGCUGUUCUUGCAUGUUUGCUUCAAAAGAAUCUGUCACAUUGCAUAGGUCUGUCACUUUUAGUGUGUCUGUGGUUGUCCUUGCUUAAUGGUAUCUUGCUUUCCAAACAGCACAGCAACUUGCUACAUGGCUUUCUGGCAUAUGUGGCUGCAAGUUUAGAGAAUCUAGGGUAUGGAAAAGCCAUCAAACUUAUAGACCUUAUGACACAACGUGGGCAUGAACUGUUUGGUCUCGAGUUGAAAGAGAAGUUUGACAUACAGAGGAAACGGCGAGCAGAGUCUUUCUUGGCUUGGAAUUUUGACCAAUUAAAGCCUAUGAUAUAGGAUAUCAUAGUUUUCUCCAAAAAAUUUCCUUUUUGAUAACCUGACUUUUCAAGUGCUUGAAAUUACACUCAGGAAUACUGUGUAAUUGUGAAUAUGUUAUAUUGUAGCAUAUACUGAUCCUUUUUUAGUACCAUUUCAAGUCUCAUAAUAAACAUCAGCUUGCUUGUGAUUUCUUGGAACUCCUGAUCUUUAUCCUUGAAGACUACAUGAAUAUUACUCUUGAUCCUUUUGGGCUGCAAAAGUUGAAUGCAGAGAUUACUCAAGCUGCAGAAACUGCUUCAGAUGACGAUGAUGAGUCAAGGAAAGGUGUUCUGGCACUGUUGGCCACUUUGGUUUGUGUUCAGGUUUUGGACCCUCCACUAUAACCCAUGGCAGGACUUUGAAUGAGCUUUGCUAGUGCCAAAAGGAAAAGGAAAGAAAAUUAAGAGAGAAGUGGGGGCACUCAAGCCAAAUCCUUUGUGAAAGGGAAAGCCCGAUGAAUGAGCCGUUUACUAGCAAAGAAAGAAGAGGAGGAGGGUCUUUAGACAUUGUACCAUUCAUGCCUCUGUUCAAAUAAACCUUUGAGUUCUUUUCACUUUAUGUUGCAUGAAAAGUUACAUGUAGUUCAUGUGGCUAUCCAAUUCCACCACCAAAAGGAAAAGAGAAAGCAAAAGCUCGACAUCUUUAGUCUCAAGUUAAAAGUGUAUGUAUGGAUAUUUAGGUUGAUUUUUGUAGUUAAUUGAGUUUGUUUCUAUCAACUUCUGCUUAACAUUUGAAGUAGACGAUUUAAACUUAUUUA